rnacentral:rRNA from 1 species
UACGUGGGGUGCAAGCGUUGUCCGGAAUUAUUGGGCGUAAAGAGCUUGUAGGCGGUUUGUCGCGUCUGCUGUGAAAUUUCGGGGCUCAACCCCGAACUUGCAGUGGGUACGGGCAGACUAGAGUGUGGUAGGGGAGACUGGAAUUCCUGGUGUAGCGGUGAAAUGCGCAGAUAUCAGGAGGAACACCGAUGGCGAAGGCAGGUCUCUGGGCCAUAACUGACGCUGAGGUGCGAAAGCGUGGGGAGCAACAGG